rnacentral:rRNA from 1 species
UACGUAGGGUGCGAGCGUUGUCCGGAAUUACUGGGCGUAAAGAGCUCGUAGGUGGUUUGUCGCGUUGUCCGUGAAAACUCACAACUCAAUUGUGGGCGUGCGGGCGAUACGGGCAGACUGGAGUACUGCAGGGGAGACUGGAAUUCCUGGUGUAGCGGUGGAAUGCGCAGAUAUCAGGAGGAACACCGGUGGCGAAGGCGGGUCUCUGGGCA